rnacentral:rRNA from 1 species
GAUGAACGCUAGCUACAGGCUUAACACAUGCAAGUCGAGGGGCAGCAUGGUCUUAGCUUGCUAAGACUGAUGGCGACCGGCGCACGGGUGAGUAACACGUAUCCAACCUGCCGUCUACUCUUGGACAGCCUUCUGAAAGGAAGAUUAAUGCAAGAUGGCAUCAUGAGUCCGCAUGUUCACAUGAUUAAAGGUAUUCCGGUAGACGAUGGGGAUGAGUUCCAUUAGAUAGUAGGCGGGGUAACGGCCCACCUAGUCUUCGAUGGAUAGGGGUUCUGGGGAGAAGGUGCCCGACAGUGGAACUGAGACACGGUCCAAACUCCUACGGGAGGCAGCAGUGAGGAAGAUUGGUCAAUGGGCGAGAGCCUGAACCAGCCAAGUAGCGUGAAGGAUGACUGCCCUAUGGGUUGUAAACUUCUUUUAUAAAGGAAUAAAGUCGGGUAUGCAUACCCGUUUGCAUGUACUUUAUGAAUAAGGAUCGGCUAACUCCGUGCCAGCCGCCGCGGUAAUAC